AUACGGAGGGGGCUAGCGUUGUUCGGAAUUACUGGGCGUAAAGCGCGCGUAGGCGGUAUAUCAAGUUAGGCGUGAAAGCCCCGGGCUCAACCCGGGAACUGCGCUUAUUACUGAUAAACUAGAGUCCGGGAGAGGGUGGCGGAAUUCCCAGUGUAGAGGUGAAAUUCGUAGAUAUUGGGAAGAACACCAGUUGCGAAGGCGGCCACCUGGACCGGUACUGACGCUGAGGUGCGAAAGCGUGGGGAGCAAACAGGAUUAGAAACCCGAGUAGUCC
rnacentral:rRNA from 1 species